UCCUGUAGCCACACAGCAGUGUGUUGCUGCGUGAGUGGUCUUGUCUGCAGGCUUUAGACUCAGCCGGGUCGUUUGUGCCACGUGGGGUCUGCGCCGCCCCAGGGGCCGCAUCUCUUUCAGCCACAGGAUGUGCAUCUUAGGGUUGCAGCAGAUGGGGCUCCUGUGCCAUGUGGGGUCCAACCCCUUGGCCUGAGCAAGGCGGCCAGUGGGCAUUGUGCUGGUGACGACCUCCGGCCUCUGUUCCUUCCCUGGCUCUGAGUCAUAAAGGCCUCCCAGUCCCACCUGGGAGCCGUGUCUCCUCUAGGAACUGCUGGGCAUGGCUGGGUCCGGUCUGCCUCAUUCCUGCAUCUGAUGCCCAGCAGUUCUUCCCCAACUCCCCCAUUCUCUAUCUCCCCCUUCUCCUCCAUCUCCUCCAUCUCCCCCGUCCCCUCCGUCUUGCCCGUCUCCAUUUCCUCCAACUCCCCCUUCUCCAUGUCAUGGCUGUCUAGGCUCCAUCCCUCCGCAGGCUCGGUCCCCCCUUGUUCUGGGCAGGGCUCUGGGUGCCGGUCUGGUGCCAGUGCUGGGAGCCUGUGGUGCCCGUCACCCCUGCUCCACCUUGAGGAGCUGUGUCCUGUCCCACGAGGAGGUGCCCCGGGACCUCAGGGCUGCAAGCCAUGGCUGGGUCCGGCUCUGCCUCAUUCCUGUAUCUGAUGCCCCCCAGUUCUCCCCCAUUUCCCCCUUCUCCAUCUCCUCUGUGUCUCCCGUCUCAUGGCUGUCCAAGCCCCAUCCUCCACCCAGGCUGGGUCCCCUCAUUCUGGGAAGCCCAUCUUGCCAUGCCCAUCCCUGCCGCCCCUCAGGACAGCGCUCUGGAUGCCGGUCUGGUGCCAGUGCUGGGAGCCUGUGGUGCCCGUCACCCCUGCUGCACCUUGAGGAGCUGUGUCCUGUCCCACAAGGAGGUGCCCGGGGACCUCAGGGCCAUGGCUGGCAUCGUUGCUGUGGAGUGGCUGUCACCUUUCAUGGUCAUCCUGCAACAGAGCUCCUGCUGCUUCUGGGUCUGAGCUCGGCCUCGAACCUGCA
rnacentral:lncRNA from 1 species